UGAAAUAGAAUCCUCUCCCCAGAAUGUUCCCUUGGGCUGAUCCCAGACAAGCAGGAGGAGUUUGGGCAGAGCUGGGGUCAUCACAGCUGCGAGAAGGGGCCCGAGCCCAGGGAGAGGACUCCCGAGGAACAAAAGCACCCCUAACAUGGUCACGCCCUUCUAACAAGUGAUUCCAGAGAUCCAGCGGGACCCCGACUACAAACCUGGGUGCUGCCUUCCUCCGUGGGAGUUGACCGAGGUGGGAGAGCACCAGGGGAAGGGGCUGCACCGGGCAGCCAUAUACCCCAGAGGUUCCAGAACCUUUCCCAUGGCUU